rnacentral:lncRNA from 1 species
UACUUUUUUGUUUUGUGACAUCUGUACAAUCCCGUGCAAGGGCGGAAAAAAAAGGACGAAAAAACAAUGAAAGUGAUGACACAAGUCUGCUAACUCUUUUGUUAUUCUUUUCAAUAUGGUUGAUAAAUACAGGUCAACAAUAUGGCAAUACCAUUAUACACCAUUGCUAUUGUGGACUGCAAUAGAAUAGGUCAGCCAGUAAUGUAUAGUCUUGUUGAUAGAGAAAAUCAGAAUCAUUUCGAGAGAAUUCUUGAAGAUAUUCAUUGUUGGACUGGUUAUUUACUAAAAUCUGCCACGCUUGUUAUUGACAAAGAUAAUGCUGAAAUUUCUGCUAUAAAGACUGUUUUUCUAUAAAGUAGAAUUCUUUUCUGUUGAGUUCAUAUAGUGAAAGCAUUUGUUACAGAACUGAAAAAGUUGCCAGUGACUGAAAGAGAGCAAUAUUUAAUUUAUGAGGAGGCAUACACCAAAAACCAAAUCUUGUCAAUUCCCGUCAAAAAAUGGCACAGAAAGAGUGACAACUUAUACUUAGCGAAAUAAUACAGUUUUGUCAUAUUUAAAACCGAUAGCUUCAAUUCUCGCAAAUCUUUCUCAUUUAAGUUUUGUCAAUGCAUUAGAAUGGGUAAAGACGUUGGAAGAUCACAGCCGCACAACUCAGUGGAUGUCAACAAACUUAAGAACCCAAAGUAAUG